CNCUGGGCGUAAAGGACGCGUAGGCGGAUUAUCAAGUNUCUUGUGAAAUCCUAUGGCUUANCCAUAGAACUGCUUGGGAAACUGAUAAUCUAGAGUGAGGGAGAGGCAGAUGGAAUUGGUGGUGUAGGGGUAAAAUCCGUAGAGAUCNCCAGGAAUACCCAUUGCGAAGGCGNUCUGCUGGAACUCAACUGACGCUAAUGCGUGAAAGCGUGGGGAGCAANCAGGAUUAGAUACCCUGGUAGUCCACGCCCUAAACGAUGUAUACUAGUUGUUGCUAAGCUAGUCUUGGCAGUAAUGCACCUAACGGAUUAAGUAUACCGCCUGGGGAGUACGGUCGCAAGAUUAAAACUCAAAGGAAUAGACGGGGACCCGCACAAGCGGUGGAGCAUGUGGUUUAAUUCGAAGAUACGCGAAGAACCUUACCCGGACUUGAUAUCUAACAAAUCAUCUAGAGAUAGAAGAGUGUCUGCUUGCAGAAAUGUUAAGACAGGUGCUGCACGGCUGUCGUCAGCUCGUGUCGUGAGAUGUUGGGUUAAGUCCCGCAACGAGCGCAACCCACGUCAUUAGUUGCUAACAGUUCGGCUGAGCACUCUAAUGAGACUGCCUUCGUAAGGAGGAGGAAGGUGUGGACGACGUCAAGUCAUCAUGGCCCUUAUGUCCGGGGCGACACACGUGCUACAAUGGCAUAUACAAUGAGAAGCAAUAUCGCGAGAUGGAGCAAAUCUAUAAAAUAUGUCCCAGUUCGGAUUGGAGUCUGCAACUCGACUCCAUGAAGCCGGAAUCGCUAGUAAUCGUAGAUCAGCCAUGCUACGGUGAAUACGUUCCCGGGUCUUGUACUCACCGCCCGUCACACCAUGGGAGUUGAU
rnacentral:rRNA from 1 species